rnacentral:rRNA from 1 species
UACUCCUACGGGAGGCAGCAGUGGGGAAUAUUGGACAAUGGGCGCAAGCCUGAUCCAGCCAUACCGCGUGGGUGAAGAAGGCCUUCGGGUUGUAAAGCCCUUUUGUUGGGAAAGAAAUCCAGCUGGUUAAUACCCGGUUGGGAUGACGGUACCCAAAGAAUAAGCACCGGCUAACUUCGUGCCAGCAGCCGCGGUAAUACGAAGGGUGCAAGCGUUACUCGGAAUUACUGGGCGUAAAGCGUGCGUAGGUGGUCGUUUAAGUCCGUUGUGAAAGCCCUGGGCUCAACCUGGGAACUGCAGUGGAUACUGGACGACUAGAGUGUGGUAGAGGGUAGCGGAAUUCCUGGUGUAGCAGUGAAAUGCGUAGAGAUCAGGAGGAACAUCCAUGGCGAAGGCAGCUACCUGGACCAACACUGACACUGAGGCACGAAAGCGUGGGGAGCAAACAGGAUUAGAUACCCUGGUAGUCCACGCCCUAAACGAUGCGAACUGGAUGUUGGGUGCAAUUUGGCACGCAGUAUCGAAGCCAACGCGUUAAGUUCGCCGCCUGGGGAGUACGGUCGCAAGACUGAAACUCAAAGGAAUUGACGGA